GCUAACGAGCGCUAACCCCUAUUGUUAGUUGCCAUCAUUCAGUUGGGCACUCUAAGGUGACUGACCGGCUAAAAGUCGGAGGAAGGUGGGGAUGACGUCAAAUCAUCAUGCCCCUUAUGACCUGGGCUACACACGUGCUACAAUGGGCGGUACAAAGGGUCGCGAACCCGCGAGGGGGAGCCAAUCCCAAAAAAGCCGCUCUCAGUUCGGAUUGCAGGCUGCAACUCGCCUGCAUGAAGCCGGAAUCGCUAGUAAUCGCGGAUCAGCAUGCCGCGGUGAAUACGUUCCCGGGCCUU
rnacentral:rRNA from 1 species